rnacentral:rRNA from 1 species
GACGAACGCUGGCGGCGUGCUUAACACAUGCAAGUCGAACGGAAAGGCCCCUUUGGGGGUACUCGAGUGGCGAACGGGUGAGUAACACGUGCGUAACCUGCCCUUGACUUCGGGAUAACUUCAGGAAACUGGGGCUAAUACCGGAUAGGAAUCCUUGCUGCAUGGUGGGGGUUGGAAAGCUUCGGCGGUUUUGGAUGGACUCUCGGCUUAUCAGCUUGUUGGUGGGGUAGUGGGUUACCAAGGCUUUGACGGGUAGCCGGCCUGGGAGGGCGACCGGCCACAUUGGGACUGAGAUACGGCCCAGACUCCUACGGGAGGCAGCAGUGGGGAAUAUUGCACCAUGGGCGGAAGCCUGAUGCAGCAACGCCGCGGGCGGGAUGACGGCCUUCGGGUUGUAAACCGCUUUCAGCAGGGGCGAAGCUUGUGGUGACGGUACCUGCAGAAGAAGCACCGGCUAACUACGUG